rnacentral:misc_RNA from 1 species
GUAUUGAUUGCGUGUGACCGCAAAAAUAAACAUUCUAGACUGUAUCAAGUUUUAUGUGAAAACGCGAGCCCUCCCGCAAAGGGGGACCCACGCGGUGAUGCACAAAAGGGGGUGAGAUGGAUUGUGUGAGAACGCUCGGGCGUGCACGACCUUUGAAAGGUCAGCGACAGCCCUUGCGCCUCGGUUGUAUGAUAAUGAUCCUUCCGCAGGUUCACCUACGGAAA